rnacentral:rRNA from 1 species
CAGCCGCCGCGGUAAUACGAAGGGGGCUAGCGUUGCUCGGAAUGACUGGGCGUAAAGGGCGCGUAGGCGGACUGAUAAGUCAGGGGUGAAAUCCCAAGGCUCAACCUUGGAACUGCCUUUGAUACUGUUUGUCUUGAGUUCGAGAGAGGUAAGUGGAACUGCGAGUGUAGAGGUGAAAUUCGUAGAUAUUCGCAAGAACACCAGUGGCGAAGGCGGCUUACUGGCUCGAAACUGACGCUGAGGCGCGAAAGCGUGGGGAGCAAACAGGAUUAGAUACCCGCGUAGUCCCUGUCUCUUAUAC